rnacentral:tRNA from 1 species
GUCGUGGUGGCCGAGUGGUUAAUGCGUUUGACUCGAAAUCAAAUGGGCUCUGCCCGCACAGGUUCGAAUCCUGUCCACGACG